AGGAUCGUAAAGCUCUUUCGCUAGGGAUGAUAAUGACAGUACCUAGUAAAGAAGCCCCGGCUAACUCCGUGCCAGCAGCCGCGGUAAUACGGAGGGGGCUAGCGUUGUUCGGAAUUACUGGGCGUAAAGCGUACGUAGGCGGAUCAGAAAGUAGGGGGUGAAAUCCCAGGGCUUAACCCUGGAACUGCCUCAUAAACUCCUGGUCUUGAGUUCGAGAGAGGUGAGUGGAAUUGCGAGUGUAGAGGUGAAAUUCGUAGAUAUUCGCAGGAACACCAGUGGCGAAGGCGGCUCACUGGCUCGAUACUGACGCUGAGGUACGAAAGUGUGGGGAGC
rnacentral:rRNA from 1 species